GAUGAAUAACGUAGCGAAAUGCGAUAAGUAAUGUGAAUUGCAGAAUUCAGUGAAUCAUCGAAUCUUUGAACGCACAUUGCGCCCCCUGGUAUUCCGGGGGGCAUGCCUGUUCGAGCGUCAUUACAACCCUCAAGCUCUGCUUGGUAUUGGGCCCCGCCAGUUCUGGCGGGCCCUAAAGUCAGUGGCGGUGCCUUCCGGCUCCGAGCGUAGUAAUUCUUCUCGCUCUGGAGACCCGGUUGUGUGCUUGCCAACAACCCCCAAUUUUUUAAGGUUGACCUCGGAUCAGGUAGGGAUACCCGCUGAACUUAAGCAUAUCAAUAAGCGGAGGA
rnacentral:misc_RNA from 1 species